rnacentral:tRNA from 1 species
GUCCUCAUAGCUUAUCAAUUAAAGCAUAGCACUGAAGAUGCUAAGAUGGUUGCUACACGCACCUGGGGACA